GGAAGUAAAAGUCGUAACAAGGUCUCCGUUGGUGAACCAGCGGAGGGAUCAUUACCGAGUUUACAACUCCCAAACCCAUGUGAACAUACCUACUGUUGCUUCGGCGGGAUUGCCCCGGGCGCCUCGUGUGCCCCGGAUCAGGCGCCCGCCUAGGAAACUCAACUCUUGUUUUAUUUUGGAAUCUUCUGAGUAGUUUUUACAAAUAAAUAAAAACUUUCAACAACGGAUCUCUUGGUUCUGGCAUCGAUGAAGAACGCAGCGAAAUGCGAUAAGUAAUGUGAAUUGCAGAAUUCAGUGAAUCAUCGAAUCUUUGAACGCACAUUGCGCCCGCCAGUAUUCUGGCGGGCAUGCCUGUCUGAGCGUCAUUUCAACCCUCAUGCCCCUAGGGCGUGGUGUUGGGGAUCGGCCAAAGCCCGCGAGGGACGGCCGGCCCCUAAAUCUAGUGGCGGACCCGUCGUGGCCUCCCCUGCGAAGUAGUGAUAUUCCGCAUCGGAGAGCGACGAGCCCCUGCCGUUAAACCCCCAACUUUCCAAGGUUGACCUCAGAUCAGGUAGGAAUACCCGCUGAACUUAAGCAUAUCAAUAAGCGGAGGA
rnacentral:rRNA from 1 species